ACGCUCCCAUCACCAGCACAGAUUCUAAAAUUGGAACAAUACAGAGGAAUUAGCGUGGCCCCUGAGCAAGGAUGACAUGCAAAUUCUUGAAGUGGUUUGUAUUUUU
ensembl:snRNA U6 U6 spliceosomal RNA